UAACUCCCCGGCCGUUUAUUGGUCCUCGCUCAAAACCCUAGGAAGAGAGCAGGAGCGCGGGUCGAUGACGGCAGCGAUCUCCAUGGCAAGAGUAGGCAGUUUUGAGGUGGAGGAGGACGAGGAGGAACCGAGGAGCCCUUCGACGCCGUUGGUCCACAGCCAGGUGAGGCGGAUCCGCGAAGAGGACCUGCGGAUAGGCGCCGUCGCUGGGGAGGGGUUGAGUGAGAGGGUUAUCCGGUUCCACCUCGCCCUCCAUCAUGCCUCCGUCUCCGCCGAUGCGGCUCUCUGUUCUCGAGUCGCAUCGCUUCCGGCCUCUCCGCUUCGCAAUAGCAGGACCGCCCUCGGAUCGGCUUGAUUAGGUCACUGUUGUCCGGCGUAGGGAAAUUGGACGAGUUUUAGAAAUACCUCUGUUUUUUUUCUUCCUUUUAUCAAUCAUGAUCUGUACAGUGCAAUCAUAGGUUUUUGACAUCAUAUUAAUCGUAAUACCGCGGAUUUGGUAUCUUGUCCUCUAAUUUUCAGGUCAUUUGAUGUGCGAGUUCCAAUUCUUUUACUUUUCUAUUUGUUUGCUGUAUGUUUUGUGCUGCGCACUUGCUCUACGAAGUUACAAGUUAAACCGUCAGUUCAACCGUUUCUGUACCUACCGAAAAAAAGCGUCCUAUAGGCUGUACAGCCGGGCCGCUCCAUGGGGCCCACGUCCUCAUCCUAUACGCAUGCGACGUUGACGUUUCGUCCUCACGAACAAAUCCGUAUCGUUGAUCGUCUCCCUCAUGAAUCGUCCUUUUAUCUUUGGCAAGGAAGAAGCCUCUUUCAUCGAAGCUGCUGCUGAUUCGAAGAAACUGGCAACCCGAACACAUGCACGGUCAUUAAUGUUUUCUGCUUCGCUACAAUCAUAAACACGUUUCAUAUAUGAUAACGUUUAAAUUUAACAGGAGUUGGCAUUCCAAAUUCGCUUAACUUACUUGUCAAAGGACGAGACGAGUCAGAAAUCAGAAUGCAUAGCGCCAAGAGAUGAAUUGUGGACUGUGGCAUUUAACAACGCUAUCAACAGAGUUACAGAAAACACGAUGUCGGUCGGUUGUCUGCAGAGAUAACAACUCGAGCCAGGCAUUCACAAAGUGGAAGAAAAAGAACAAGAAAAUGGAAAUACUGAUGCUUGCUACUUCCUAACUCGCACUCUCCGAACAGAGUUUACGUACGUACACUAUCUAUAUACAUCUACGUGGUCAUGUAGAUGUGGACUUCCAUAUCUAUAUAGAUGUGAUUAUAUUAACUGAGCUAUCGUCAAUCAGGAACGGAGCAGGCUCCGGAUGAUCUCGGCCUCGGCGCUGUUGGUGUCCAUGGUCGCCAUGAUGGCAGAGAGCCGGUCACUGAGGUCGUCCACCUCCCUGUUCAGGCUCCUGAUAUAGUUGCACGUUUCCUUCAGUAACUUCGCCGCGGACACCUGCUCGAGGAAAGAACACAAGAUCACUGAAACACAUGUAUUAACCAGUCGAUGCUUGCUUCCUCUGCCAAUUAAAGUUCAUGUCAGGAAACCAAACUGAAGAGGAAAUUCAAGCAUCAUCUUGAAGGGCUCUACCAACGACCAUCAUCUCGAAUAUCUGAAAAGCUCUCGAGAAAAAACUAACAAAAAGCUAGAAAACUUUUUAGGAGGGAGAAAAAGACUCAAACCUAGCUAAUAAUUUAGUAGUGGACUGGUACAUAACAAAGAAGGAGAACGUGUCAGAUAGCUUUUGACCUCCCCAUUAGACUUUGACGAUCGAGUUUGUGACCUGCACAAACAAUUUAAAAUCACUGUACUGCAAAAUCUUUCUAGAUGGACCACUACAAGAUAUGAUGGUCCACUUGUUGUCGAGAUUUCGUAGGCAAUAUUGCUUCAUCGAAUUUGAGAUGGAUUAUUGUUGUCUUGCACAAAUUACUGAGAGCCUUCAGAUCUUCUUGUAUCAUAUUCAACUGAGUUCUUGCGCAUGGAUCUUUGAUUAUUUUUUUUUAUGUUUUUAAUAUAUA